UACGUAGGGGGCAAGCGUUGUCCGGAAUCAUUGGGCGUAAAGCGCGUGUAGGCGGCCCGGUAAGUCCGCUGUGAAAGUCCAGGGCUCAACCCUGGGAUGCCGGUGGAUACUGUCGGGCUAGAGUCCGGAAGAGGCGAGUGGAAUUCCUGGUGUAGCGGUGAAAUGCGUAGAUAUCAGGAAGAACACCAACGGCGAAGGCAGCUCGCUGGGACGGUACUGACGCUGAGACGCGAAAGCGUGGGGAGCGAACAGG
rnacentral:rRNA from 1 species